UCGAACGAGAACGGGUCUUAGCUUGCUAAGAUUGUCAGCUAAGUGGCGCAAGGGAGAGUAAUAUAUAGUUAACCUGCCCUAGAGAGAGGGAUAACGUUUGGAAACGGACGCUAACACCUCAUAUGCCUUUAAGACAAAAGUCUGCAAGGGAAACAUUUAUGGCUCUAGGAUGGGACUGUACGGUAUCAGUUAGUUGGUGAGGUAAUGGCUCACCAAGACAAUGACACCUAACUGGUUUGAGAGGAUGAUCAGUCACACUGGAACUGAGACACGGUCCAGACUCCUACGGGAGGCAGCAGUGGGGAAUAUUGCACAAUGGACGAAAGUCUGAUGCAGCAACGCCGCGUGGAGGAUGACACAUUUCGGUGCGUAAACUCCUUUUAUAUAGGAAGAUAAUGACGGUACUAUAUGAAUAAGCACCGGCUAACUCCGUGCCAGCAGCCGCGGUAAUACGGAGGGUGCAAGCGUUACUCGGAAUCACUGGGCGUAAAGAGAAUGUAGGCGGGUAAUUAAGUCAGAAGUGAAAUCCAAUAGCCCUACUAUUGAACUGCUUUUGAAACUGAUAACCUAGAAUAUGGGAGAGGUAGAUGGAAUUUCUGGUGUAGGGGUAUAAUCCAUAGAGAUCAGAAGGAAUACCGAUUGCGAAGGCGAUCUACUGGAACAUUAUUGACGCUGAAUUCGAAAGCGUG
rnacentral:rRNA from 1 species